CAGCUAUAUUUAAACACUGCUGCCUAACUUAUACAACGAUCUCGUGCGCACUCUACGUUCCACAUAAUCCAAGCAACAAUUCUCCACCCUCCGUUGGAACUUCACUUAACACCUUGUCCGCAGGAAUUUCCAUGGCUAAAAAAGAGCGAUAUCCACGGGUUACAUCCUAUCGUUUGCUCGUGCUGUUCCAGGCAGCGAGCGAAAUAAUCAGCGCGAGAUCUCGAACAAACACGGCUCUCUCCUACGUACGAAAGGGUGCACGAAAGGAGACGACACGGAAACAGGCAGACGUGGAAAGGCUGGCGGUUGAAUGAACAAGGGACAGGGAGGGGAGCAGGGGGAGCAGCAAGGAGAGGCGAAGCUAAGGAAGAAACAGGAAGCCGAGCGCAGGAGAAUGGCGGACAGACGGAGGAAGAGCAUGCAAGGGUGGUGCGAAGCGUAGUACGAUAACCGUAUAUAUACGACGCUCUGCCAGUCUCAUCGACCUAAAACCGAGGCGAACUCGGCGAGAGUGGCGGCGAGGCCGCGAUGGAGACGCCGGCAGUGGUGUAACUCGCUGUGCAAUCGGGGCUGCGAACGAUAUCGAAUGAGCGAGCGAGACAUCGUCCGAGAUACGUG
rnacentral:misc_RNA from 1 species